rnacentral:rRNA from 1 species
GACGUAGGGCGCGAGCGUUGUCCGGAUUUAUUGGGCGUAAAGAGCUCGUAGGCGGCUUGUCGCGUCGUCCGUGAAAACUUGGGGCUCAACCCCAAGCUUGCGGUCGAUACGGGCAGGCUCGAGUUCGGUAGGGGAGACUGGAAUUCCUGGUGUAGCGGUGAAAUGCGCAGAUGUCAGGAGGAACACCGGUGGCGAAGGCGGGUCUCUGGGCCGAUACUGACGCUGAGGAGCGAAAGCGUGGGGAGCGAACAGG